UGAUGAAGGUUUUCGGAUCGUAAAGCUCUGUUGUUAGGGAAGAACACGUGCCGUUCGAAUAGGGCGGCACCUUGACGGUACCUAACCAGAAAGCCACGGCUAACUACGUGCCAGCAGCCGCGGUAAUACGUAGGUGGCAAGCGUUGUCCGGAAUUAUUGGGCGUAAAGCGCGCGCAGGCGGUCUUUUAAGUCUGAUGUGAAAUCUCGGGGCUCAACCCCGAGCGGUCAUUGGAAACUGGGAGACUUGAGUGCAGAAGAGGAGAGUGGAAUUCCACGUGUAGCGGUGAAAUGCGUAGAUAUGUGGAGGAACACCAGUGGCGAAGGCGACUCUCUGGUCUGUAACUGACGCUGAGGCGCGAAAGCGUGGGGAGCAAACAGGAUUAGAUACCCUGGUAGUCCACGCCGUAAACGAUGAGUGCUAGGUGUUAGGGGUUUCGAUGCCCUUAGUGCCGAAGUUAACACAUUAAGCACUCCGCCUGGGGAGUACGACCGCAAGGUUGAAACUCAAAGG
rnacentral:rRNA from 1 species